rnacentral:rRNA from 1 species
GACGAACGCUGGCGGCGUGCUUAACACAUGCAAGUCGAACGGAAAGGCCCUGCUUUUGUGGGGUGCUCGAGUGGCGAACGGGUGAGUAACACGUGAGUAACCUGUCCUUGACUUUGGGAUAACUUCAGGAAACUGGGGCUAAUACCGGAUACGAGCUCCUGCUGCAUGGUGGGGGUUGGAAAGUUUCGGCGGUUGGGGAUGGACUCGCGGCUUAUCAGCUUGUUGGUGGGGUAGUGGCUUACCAAGGCUUUGACGGGUAGCCGGCCUGAGAGGGUGACCGGCCACAUUGGGACUGAGAUACGGCCCAGACUCCUACGGGAGGCAGCAGUGGGGAAUAUUGCACAAUGGGCGGAAGCCUGAUGCAGCAACGCCGCGUGCGGGAUGACGGCCUUCGGGUUGUAAACCGCUUUCGCCUGUGACGAAGCGUGAGUGACGGUAAUGGGUAAAGAAGCACCGGCUAACUACGUG